rnacentral:lncRNA from 1 species
CUUUUGACUAAGAAAAGUCAAAGUUUGACUUUUGACUAGAAAUAUCUAAUGACCAUUUUACCCUUGGACUAAGUUAGUGGGAAAAUCCAACAUUUUGUUGGAUAAUCCCACUAACUCUUAGUGGGAUAUGUGGCUAUAUGAGAUAUAGACACCUAGCCCACUAAGUUCCACUAAUUGUUAGUGGAAUAUUAGGUGUUGAGAUUUGGCAAAUGAAUUGCAUGCAUUUUUUCAUGUAAUUAGGUUAUAAAUAGAGGUGUUUUCAAAUGUUGAAAAAACUUUUGCCUCUUUUAUCAUUUUCAUCAUCUCAACAAAAGAAAAAAGAAAGCUUCCAAUCUCAUUUUAUCUCCAUUACUUUCUACACCAAAAUUGGGUCCCACAACCCGGUUCUUUGUCUAGAGGAUAGCAGUUGAGUACUAGUGGUGGUCUCGGUUAGAAUUGGUAAGAAGAUAUCAAACCUUUUGAAAGCUUCAAAGGUAAUAUUUCUUAAAACCCUAAUUUGAUUAGUUUAUGGUUACAUGUUAAUUGUGGCAAUUAGGGUAGAAAUUCGAUUCUUUUUUCGCUGUGCAUGACUUAGUUCUAUCAUGUGGUAUCAGAGCAUGCUUCAUUUUUACCCAAUUGCAUGUGGUGGGUUCAUAUUUAUUAGAUAAAUUUUGGUUUGAACUAAAAUGGAUAUAUUAUGAUUUUGGCUCUAGAUUAAGUGUUUUUGUUCUAAUUAUUGUAAUUAGCCUUGUUAAUGGCUUAUUUUUAUUGUUGCAAAGUGUUUGUAAUUUUUAAAAAAAUAAAAAAAGUCAUUAGAGUUGAAGUUAGGCUUUAACUGGUUCAACCGGGUGAGAGAAUUGAAAAAAAAUGAAGAAAAGAAGGUCACAGACCCGAAAACCCGCCUUGACCCGCUUCGCGACCCGCACGCGCCCGCAUGCCCGCACGCCCUCCUGCGCCCGCGCGCCCGCCUGUGUCCGCAUGCGUCUGCGCGCGCCGCGUGCCUGCCUUCGCCCGACCCGUGUGCGCCUGGGCCGGUUCAAGCAGUUUCGGUUGGUUUUUCAGCCGGUUCAAAGUUUUUGGGAGUGGUUCUGUACUACACCAAAGUAAUUAUGUAAUAAUUUAGUACUUAGCUUAAUUUAGGAGCCAAAAAUCAGUCCAUUUUAGGGUGUUUUUUUUUAUUUAUGCAUGUGAUGUAUGAUUAAAUUACUUUAAAUUUGUAUGUGCAUUUUGAAUGUCAUAUAGAUUUAAAAUCCCACCAUAGGUUAACAUGUUCAUGCAUUAAAAUGUAUGAUAUAAAGGUUAUAUUGUAUUGUAUGCAUGUUAAUUGAUUAAUAUGGAAAUUAAAAUCCCACCAUAGGUGUUUGCUUUUCAUUCUAGGUCAUAAAGCUUGGGUGUGACGUUUCGGCAUUUUCAUAUGCAAGCCUGCCAGAGCUGAAAAUGUUCAAAAUGUAUUAUAGGGGAGGCAUACCAGUUGAAUCCCCGCUCGAGCAUUAGUUGUACUCUUUGCAAGCAACCCUUUUCGUGGCACGCGUGCGGGGCCUGUGAGCUGUCCUCGAGAGGUGCCUGCCAAUGUUGUGGGCAUAUGUUCUGGUCACCCUUGGGCUGUCUCGGGACCACGUUGGGCUACUCCUGGGCCAUGCUAAAGGAGUCGUGGCACGUAUUGGCGCAAUUUUGCGGGUGAUUUUUGGGGUCAAAGCUUCACAUGUGACAUCAGGCUUACUUCUUUUCAUUUCUUUCUUUUUUCUUCUUCUUUCUUUUUCCCGUUUUAAAUUUUAUCUCUAAACCAAACUCCAACUAACUCUAAUUUAUGUUUAGGAACUUGUAAUUUUGGAGUACAAUAUA